UCGCUUAAUCCUGUGUUCUAAAAAUCACUCCUUCUCCCCCCUAACCCUAAUCGCCGUCUCAAUCCCUUCAUCGAUUAUCUUCCUCUCCCCCAACUCCUCCCGCAUAACGCCUCCGAUGAGAGUGCUGGUACACGGAAUUGGAAACAUCCUCUUAGUUAAUUACAAGGUAAAGUUAAGAGCAUAAAGAAAACUUUGAACGACUAAACACAGAGCACGCAACGUGUAAUGGUUUAGAGGGAAACAACCACGUGUCUGAGUGUUUUUGAUGUCCUAACCAACCUACUCAAUAACAAAUUAGCUGCCUCUGGUGUGGAGCCAAAGAUAAUUCUGGCGACAACAUCAAUGAAAAUGUUACAUCUCUGUGGGAUCUCCCUCAACUCCCACAAAAUAUGAGGGCAUUCAUAAGCCACCGUCUGGUACCGUCUAAGUGUUUAAUGCAUAUGUCUUGCAUUCUGAGCCACAUGUACAUAUUCUAGACUCACCCAACUUUCAUACAGUUUUCAAAAUUAGAGCAUUACGUACUGUCAUUUUACACCUCCACAGUCAGUCGAGUUAUUCUACACCAAUACGUGAUACUCUUACCACUGCAUCACAGGUGACCAUCAAUUACUGUACAUGUUAUUAUAUCAUUAUCAGAAGCUCUGUUUACAGCUACAGUUUUAUACAUUUAUCUUCUCAGCUUUAUGCUAUUUGUCUGUAUUUUUCUAUUAUGCACAUAGUUCUAAAACAUUCUUGAUUA